UGAAUGGCUGCGGUAAUUUGACCGUACAAAGGUAGCAUAAUCAUUAGUUUAUUAAUUGUAAUCUGGAAUGAAUGAUUGGACAAGAGGAAUACUGUUUCUAUUUAAUAGAAAUGAAUUUUAUUUAUAAGUGAAAAAGCUUAUAUAUAUAUGAAAGACGAGAAGACCCUAUAGAGUUUUAUUUGAAAUUAAUUUAGGUUUUUUUAAGUGGUUUAUAAUUUAGUUGGGGUAAUUAUAUAAGUAAAUAUAUAUUGUAUAUCUUAUACUUAAUAGUAUGUAGUUGAACUAUUGUAUAGUAGGAUGAUUAAAUUACCUUAGGGAUAACAGCAUAAUUUAAUUAAGGAGUUCUUAUUUAUAAUUAAGUUUGUGACCUCGAUGUUGGAUUAAGAAUAUAAUAGGGUGUAGAAGCUUUAAUUAUAAGUCUGUUCGACUUUUAAAUUCUUACAUGAUCUGAGUUCAAACCGGCGUGAGCCAGGUUG
rnacentral:rRNA from 1 species